AAGACGGGAGGCAGAAGGGAGGAAGAGGUAACAAUGAGAAGAAGCCUGAACCAGCUAUUUAUCGUGAGGGAGUAAGGCCCUACGGGUCGUAAACCUCUUUUGCCGGGGAGCAGUGCCCAGCGCGUGAGCUGGGAGGGAGCGUACCCGGAGAAAAAGCAUCGGCUAACUCCGUGCCAGCAGCCGCGGUAAUACGGAGGAUCCGAGCGUUACCCGGAUUUAUUGGGUUUAAAGGGAGCGUAGGUGGAUUGUUAAGUCAGUUGUGAAAGUUUGCGGCUCAACCGUAAAAUUGCAGUUGAAACUGGCAGUCUUGAGUACAGUAGAGGUGGGCGGAAUUCGUGGUGUAGCGGUGAAAUGCUUAGAUAUCACGAAGAACUCCGAUUGCGAAGGCAGCUCACUGGACUGCAACUGACACUGAGGCUCGAAAGUGUGGGUAUCAAACAGGAUUAGAUACCCCAGUAGUC
rnacentral:rRNA from 1 species